GAAAUAAAAUAAUUUGCAGUAUAAUAAUAAUUAAUAAAAUCCAAUUUUAAUGCAAAAAAGAAGGAGAGUUGAUGCCAUAAAUAGCGAGGUGUGGAAAUGUAAAAAAAUAAAAUAAAAUAAAAAAGAAUUUGGAAGGAGAGAUUCCCUAAGUUUUCCUUAGGAGGACAGGCAGAAUGGAGGGUGGACCUUAUCUUGUAAUGUUUACCAUUUUUGCUACAAAAAAGUACUUAUUUUUCUUCUGUAAUUUCUUUUUUUAAAGGCUAUGCUAAUUAGAAUGGAGACUGGUCAGUCCUCUAAGUGUAGAAAAAGGUGGAAGAGAGAGAGAUCCUAGCAUGGUUGGCAUGUGCGAACACUGCCAGAGAGAGAAUGAUAGUCAUGGCAAAAGGUGUGUGUACUCCUGUCCUUCUGACACCACCAUUAUGAGAUGAACGCCUCUGGUUGCCAUCACUGAUUGCAUUUAACGUUUGCUCCAUCUCCUUCCUUCUUAUGUCUCCAUGUAUGUCAUUGCCCAGCAAAUAGCUCUUGAGUGUAAGUGGUUUCCUCCCUGGGGCUGGCCAGAGGAGGAGAUGGUACCAACUGAAACACAUGCAAGUGUCUGGACCAUGUGAUAGACACCUGUCUUAGUGUAAAUUAAUGCAUUAGAAUUCUGGUACUAAUAUAUAAUAUAUGUGUAUAACCAUUUUGUGAGCCCAGUUCCUGAAGAAAUGGACCUGUUGCUGGACAAAUCCAACUUCUGGAUCCACAGUGCUGAGGCCAGAUGCUGGACACUGGCAAGUUCACCAGACUGCAGACCAGUGCUGUGUGUGCUCUCCCUGGAAUCCCCUAAAUACCAGUAGUGGUCAAGUCUGUCUUAUAAAAUUAUUCCCCAAAUGUCUACAGUAGAAAUUAUCCUUCCUAUCUUACAGAUGAGGAAACUGAAAACAAGAGAUGCCAAGAUCACACAGAUGGUAGGGAUCGACCUGGACUCUAUUGGAUCCUAAAUCCAAGUUCAUGAGUCACUGUCGUACUGGACCAGCCACCUUCUCCUUCAUCUGUGUCAGCAGAGAAGGGAGGUUUGGGCAAGCUAAUCCCAGGAUGAUCCUCUUGUGGUCUGUAAGAAAGGGUAUGAAUUAACCUGAAAAUAACUAACUUUGAACCAGGUUGGAGUUAAAAGUAUCUAGAGCCUGGUUAUACACACCCUGCUGGGUGAGACCAAGUGUUUCGUGGACAGCCUUUCCCAUUUUGUGAGGUACCAUACCUUAUGCUUCUGCCUUAUUAUUGGCACAGCUAGAUAUAUGGGGGCCAUGGAUUUUAAAGCCCCCAGUUCCCCCUAGAGGCUUGUGUGAUAUCAGGAUGCCCAGCAUGUUCCUUCUGCACAGAGAAGAAAACUGUUCUGCAGUGCAGAGACAAACACCAUGACCUUGACUCUACGGAGCACAUAAACAGUCAAUCAGGGUAUCUGCUGCUCUCUAGAGAGCUAAGAGAGGGGGAAAGGGGUCAUCCACCCACUUAGAGCUGCUGACCAUGAAGGCAUGCAAACUGUCACCUGUAUCCAAACCUGAAGUCCAUCAUCUGCUCCCCAAAUCCACCUGAGAAUCAUGAACUUUGCACUUUCCAAUCCUUCCUUUGGCCUUGCAUCCCACAAACACUUUGAUGUGUUCAACACUGUGUGCCUCCACACAAGAUGCUGAGAGCUUCCCAGCUUCCCCUUCCCCACAGGGGUCCACAAGGUUAUAAUUGUCCUGUGUAACUCCACCUCUUGUCUGGGGCUGAUUGGACCAGAGUCAACCAGCUUUUCUCUUUCAGAAAUGUGGAAUUGUGGCUGCAAGAUCCAAAGCAGUGUCCGAUACUGUCUGACCAAAGAGGUCAUUAAACUCAAUAGCAAAUGGGGGGACUGGGUGGCUGUCUUCCUUCAUGCACAUGGAGAUAUGGGCUAAGUCCUCUUGAAGAGUAACAAGAGGCAAAGCUACAAAUAAGAGCAGAGUCUGAGGUCAGAUGUUGUCCACAGACAUAGACGAGCAUCUUCUUGGCUCAUGAUAGCUUUCCACUCUCUGGUAAACCUCAAGUGCUCUCUUCCCCAUGUAUGCUUUAAGAAAUUCCACAUCCUCCUAAUAAUCCCUCUUCUUUCUCGAGUUAGUUUUAGUGUCUUUCCUGAACAUCUUUUUCACUUACUGCAGACACUAAAACUAGUUAUCUUUGCUUUGGAAAACAGUCCUCAAAAGGUUAAACAUAAUGUCACCAGACGACCUAGCAAUUCUGCUCCUAGGUGUGUACCCAAGAUAAAUGAAAAUAUAUAUUUACACAAAAACCUGUGCACAAAUGUUCAUAGCAGCAUUAUUCAUAACAACAGAAAAAAAGAAACUAACCAAACAUCCAUCAACUAAUGAAUGGAUAAAAAAUAUGGUAUACCCAACAGUGAGAUAUUAUUAAGCCAUAGAAAGGAAUGAAGUUUCUAUGCUUGCUACAGCAUGAACAUUGAAACCAUUACACUGAGUGAAAGAAGCCAGCGUGGCAGGUAAAGGGAUGCGAGCAAGGAGGAGACAUUGUGAUCUUGACUCCUUUUCCUUUGAGUAGAGGAUAAUUUGUCACAUUUUGGAAGGCAGUGCCUUUGAGCAGCUUCAUGAGCCUAGGAUCUGACUCUCUUAGGAAAGUUCCUUGGAAGAGCCUACAGGUGACAACAGUGUUGAACUUUAGGCAAGCCCUGUGAUACUGGAAAAUUGCAAAGGUUAAGAAAUGUCCCCACCCUUUUGUGUUCUGGGAAACAGCUCACUGCAAAGAACUCCCUUCCCCAUAUGACUUAGAUGAGACUCAUAGGUGCCCCCACUUGUUUACCUAUGACAAGGCCAGACCCAGAGCCUCCAAACUCCCUUUCUUUGUUUUUGUGGUUAGUUUAACUGCCUGUUUCCACUGGUCAGUCGGAACAAAGUGUUCGUUAACCUAACUUUGGUGUAGAGUCUCUCCUUUCCCCAGGUCCUGGCCCACCCUCAGCCUGAGCCAGCAGACAACUCCUCUUUACAGACCUUCCUGAUCAGCCCUCAACCACUGUCUGAUUGUGUCACUCUGAUCAUCCCAGCCCCCAACACCCACUUCUUUCUAACCUUGUUUAUGCCUCUUUAGCAAAGCAAAAUAUUUACUGCCUCAUCUUGAGACACUUGCAGAUUAAGUGGUCAGAACAUUCCCUCUACUGCAAUAAUCCUUUUGAAUAAAGUCUCUCCUAACUAAAUCUGAGGUUUUUUUUUGUUUGGCAGUAAAUUAAUGAAGCCAAAGAUCACGGGAGACCAUCUGCUUGUGUUUACCCAUGAGGCAGUGUGGCAUAGGCGAAUGGGUGCGAGUCUAGCCCUGCUAUUCCUGCCUGUGUAACCCUAGAGAGCCUUUCUAAUUACUCUCUGCCUCUGCUUCCUUACCUGUAAAAUGGGCUAAAUAAUGGUACCUGUGUCAGUUAAUAUUUGUGAAAUGCCUAAUAGAGCCUAUUCCAAACAAUUACUACAUCAGUCUUUUUAAAAAAUAAAACUGUGUCUUUAUUUUAAUUUUCAGAUGUUUCCACUCACAAUAUUGGUAAAUGUAGAGUUUGCCUCUACUGACUGUCAGCUGAACAUCUUGGUUAAGACUCAGACUGCCUGAUUCUUCUCUUCCACUUACAAGCCUUGGGAAAGUCACAUAUAACCAUGUGGAACCUCCACUUCCUCACAUGGAAGGACCCUCUCGCUAGAAACAUUUGGAUACAUGACAGUUCGCUUGCUCUGACCAAGGAGGAACAGCUGCCCAUACUCAGUUCCCUGGGUCUAAGAGACACUCAGACAACAUCUUUGUUAAAUUCAUUAUUUGCAAAGGCCUGGGCAGAAGACCAAAACAGAAAAAGAGGUAAGAGGAUCCAGGCGUAGCUUCUCAAUUUUUGGCAAACGAGAAUGCCCACCUGAACAACAGAGAGGGGCACAGCCUCCCCAUUCCCACAGCCCACCAAGGAAGGACCUGGGAUUGCUCAUUUUUCCAGGGACCAACCCGUAUAAGAAUAGUCUCAGCAAACUACCUACAAGACCUCAAAUCUCGGAUACGACUUGAUUCCUGGUCAUACACCGCACAGACAUUAUUUCCUGAGCACCUAUGAUGUGGUUGGCUCUGUAUAAGGCACUGACGGCACAGUGUGAUCCUAUCCUUGGUGAUGGUGAGCCCUUGAUAGAGACCUGCACCAGGUGCCAAGGGCACAUGAAGAAGCAUCCAAAGCCCGUGGGGUCUGGGAGAGAGCAGGGAAGAUUACACAGUUAAGCAAACUCUCAAAAGUAGUAUCCCCAUUUUACAGAUUAGUAAUCUGAGGCUCUGAGAUGUUAAUUAUCUGACCCAGGUCACACAGCAAGAAGCUGGCAGAGCUGAGAAGCUGCAACUAACGAUUCCGAAGUCCAUGCUCUUUUUUUCUUUUUUUAUUUUACUUUAAAUUCCGGGAUACAUGUGCAGAACUUACAGGUUUGUUACAUAGCUGUAUGUGUGGCAUGGUGGUUUGCUUCACCUAUCAACUCGUCACCCUAGUGUUAAGCCCUGCAUGCAUUAGCUAUUUGUCCUGAUACUUCCCCUCCCCUCACCCUCACCCCCACCCCAAUAGGCCCCGAUGUGUGCUGUUACUCUCUCUGUGUCCCUAUGUUCUCAUAGUUCAGUUCCCACUUAUGAGUGAGAACAUGCGGUACUUGGUUUUCUGUUCCUGUGUUAGUUUGCUGAGGAUGAUGGCUUCCAGCUUCAUCCAUGUCUCUGCAAGGGGCAUUAUCUCAUUCCUUUUUAGUCCAUGGUCUUUUUGCACUGCUAGAUAAUCUCUCUAACCCUGGCGGGAAGGCACUUGCCUGCCUAGCAGUCUUUGUUUGCUCAUGCAUUCAUUCAUGCGUGCAUGCAUUUCUUCAACAGAAGUUUAUUAAGCAUCUACUGCAUACCAGGAGCCGUACGCAAUGCUAUCAUUACAGAAUUGAAUGAAAUAGUCAAGAUAGUCUAGUGGGACUAUGACACAGAUAUUUACUAGAUAAAUAUUCAAUUUCAAGGUGAGAAAAGUUCUAUGAAAGUAACAAAUAGGAUAUGAAGAUUGAGAAAUACACCUGGAGACUUAAAGCCUGGAGAACAGAGAAUACCUGUUCAAGAAGUUAAUAUUUAAGCUAGUAGUUAUCAGUUGGCAGGGAUUUUGUCCUCAUGAGGCAUUUGGCAUUGUCUAGAGACAUUUUUUCUUAUCACAACUGGGGAGCAGAUUAUUGUGUCAUCCAGUGAGUAGAGACUAAACAUCCUAUAAUGUACAGAAAAGUUCCAACGACAAAGAAAUUUUCCAGCCCCAAAUGUCAAUAGUGCCAAGAUUUAAAAACAAAAACAAAAACAAAACAAAAGCAUGACUACAAGCAGUUAAUUGUCAUGUCUUAGACUAAGACAUGAAGGUGAAGAAGAAGCCAGCCUGUAAAGGGUGGAGGAAAAAGCAUUCCCGGUGAAAAGAACAGUAAAUGGAAAGACUUUAGAGCUUGGUGCUUCAAGCUAACUAGCAGGGGAGAGAGGUGUGGGAUCUGGGGGCUCGGAUUCCACAGGGCCUUCUGGUCUUGGGCAAAAGUUUGGGUUUGAAUUCUCUACAGCAGAAAGCCUUUGAUGGGUCUUAAGCCAGAAAAAGACACUCAACCUACUCUGCAGAGAACAACUUAAAGAGACAAAAGUGGAAUCCCAGAGGCCAGGGAGUAGCCCUAGAACAAAUGACGGUAGCUUUGACUACAUCAGAAGCAGGGGAGGUGACGAGCCGUGGACAUAUCUAGGUGCAGUUGGAAAGUAAUAGCCUCAGCACCGAGAACGAAUUGUAUAUGGGCGGGCAGGGGAGAAGAUGGGCAGAGAAAUGAGAAUGAAGGGGAGUUCUUGGGAUUCUGGUCACUACAGAAUGCUGGGUAGUGCAGCUCACCAAGAUGGGGAACCCUGAGCAAGGGCCAGGUAGGGAAGGGUCCCAAAUCAAGAACUCAGUUUCAAGCAUAUAAAGCGCAAGACAUCCAGUGGAACUGAGUACAUAAGGUGUUGGAGAGAGAAAUUGUUUAUACAAGAUUUUGAGCUGUGGUUCAUUUGUAAAGUAGGGCUGGCUAUCCAUUAGCUUCACCUGGGACGGAGGCGCUCUAAAGAAACACCAAUGCCCAGGCACAUGCCUUAGAUCAGGUAAACUUGAGCUCUGGGAGUGGGUGCCCAAGCAUCAUUAUUUUUUAAAAGCCCCAAGGUGAUUCUGACACACAGUGACAGUUGAUAUCCACCGGAUUCAAGAAGCUGUCCCGAGGUGGAGACCUUCUCUGUAUGCAUGCAGCCCCACUAUGGGGCUGAGAAGCCUCACCUUUGUGCCUUACCAAAGGAACUGUCUCUAGUUUGUGUCUAUUUAAAAAUUCCAUCUCUGCUGCUUCAGUGGUUGGCUGAAGUCUAUCUGUAAAAACAAUGAACUGCUUGUAGUCUUGGGUGUUCUUGUAUUACCUGCAGUUCCAGACCUUUUGUUCCAAGACUCUCUUGUUUAUGGGAAUGUCAGUCUCCUGAUAAAGCCCCAGGGCUGUUUCCUCUCUUUCAUUCUUUGGGAGCCAGAAUGUUUGCAAUCUCUCUUGUGAACUUUCUUUCCGAAAUGCUCACAGCAUCUUCUGACACCUUGUACUCAAAGCAGGAGAUAUAUUCAGACCUGGCCUAUUCUUCAAGGUGCAGUUAAAUCUCCAUUCCCUUUAUUAUUAUGGGGCACCCAUCAUGUGACUUGCUUUGUACCUGGCACUUGGGGAAACCAUGAUGCACAUGAAUGACAUGACCCGUCAUCUAGGAGAAAGUAUCUCAACUUCAGAGCUAUUGACAUUUGAGGUCAGGUAAAUUUUUUGUGGUAGGGGCUGUCCUUUGCAUUAUAGAAUGUUCAGUGGCAUCCUGGCCUCAACACUCAAUACCUGUAGCAUGUUGUCACUCCCCGCUACCCUAUAGGUUUUGACAACCAAAAAUAUCUCCAGAAUUGCCAAAUAUUCCCCUAGGUAACCAAAUUGCUCCCAGUAAAGAACAAUUGCUUGAGAGGGAAGAGUAUAUUAAAUAAAUAGUCACAGAGAAUGCUGAUAAAGAAUAUGAAAGGGUCAUAAACAGGAGAGAUGUAAUUGAACAGAAACAUAUAAGCUCAACAUGGGACUACCUGUUCCAGCCCAGAAAGUAGCCAGGAUUAUUUUCAUCAUAAUGCGUUCUCUGGUUACUUUAUUGUCCUUUGUCUUCUUUGAUUUCCUACAGCAGCAUUCACUGUUUGUGUACUAUGCAGCCAGGCUCAACACUAAGCAUUUGGCAUGCUCAUUUCAUUUUAUUCUCAUAACUAUUCUACUGACUACAAGCAGUACAUUGUCACAUCUUAUACAACUACCCUAUAACCAACACUGGCACCACAAACAAUUGAAGAUUUCCUAUAUAAGUAAAUUGCCUUUCUAACCAAUAACAUGUCAUAUUAGCCUUGCAAACUAGAACAAAAGCUGCGAUGUCUAUAGUGUCCACUUUUUCUUUAUCUCUUAAGCAACAGCCUCCUAGUUCAUCAGUUAUCACAAUCCUUUUUGUACUAUUAAUGUCUCUUCUUCAAGUCCUUCCUUCUGGGUCUCCAAAUCACUCCCCAAAUUUCUCUCUUCCACCAAACUUUUUCUUUUGAUCUUCAUGUUCCCUGGAGCUAAUUCCCCAUCUUCUCCUUCCCUUUUCCACCAAAAUUCUCAAAUUUUCAGAGUUGCUCACUAACAUCAUCUCCUUGCUGCCUUUGCACUGGGACUCCUUCCUGUGCCCUUUCCUGAAAGAAUUCUCUCUAAUCGGUAUCCCCAAGGCAGUGAAAGCAGAGCUAUCAGCUCAUCUCAUUUUCUCUCUCCUCCAUACUGGAUGUUGUUUGUAACUAUUUUCCUUGGAACCCUACACCACCCAGGUCUCCCUUCCACCUCCUAUCCUAUAGGUAUGAGUGGACCCCACCGCCCAGUGCCCUGUCCUAAUCUCUGUCUACACUCGUCUCUCAGAUAUCUUUUUAGGUUUCAGAGCUUCAUUUGUCCUACCUAUGUGGAAGAUUAAUCUAAUUUUAUCUUCCAUCUUGGGCUGUUUCUUGUAUUUUAGCCUCAUUUCUCCAAUUUAAUUUGGACACCACCACCUGAAUACAACCUUGGCAUGUCAAAUUCAACAUGUCUCAAACAAAAGAUAUAAUAUUUUUCGCAAAGUCAGCUCCUCUUCCUCAGUCUCGCAAGACCUAUGGUUUCUCUUCAUUGUAAAAAUCACCCUCAGACCCUCAGAAUCAUUCUCUACAUUCCUUUGUCUAUGCAUUCAUUCCUUGAGCCUGUUGUGGACACCAUGUUUUUCACUGGGGCCAUAGUGCCUCCCUGCAUGGAGCUCAUGGUCCAUCUGGAAAUCCAGGCAGUCAAAAGAAGAAUCAGAAAGGGCAUAUGAUGAGAGCCAUGAUAGGGAGAGUCCAAUGUGCAGUGGGUCUCUCCUUUUCUUCUCUGCCUAGGUCCAAUAAGACAGCAAGUCCUACAGGGCUUCCUUCAUAAAGUCCCUCCAGUUGGCUGCUUGCCCUUCCAACUCAUGGCCUCUACCCCAGUCUCCUACAUCCUCUUGCCUCUUCUCACUUCUGCCCACUUCUCUGAACUCUCACACAUUAUACUGUCCUGCAAUAUACUGGCUUCUUGCCUACCUGCUCCUCUAUACUGCAAGUUGAUUCAAUGUCAUGAACGCAUACUAUUUGCCACUAUAUUCCCAGUACCAGGCACAGAGUUGCUCAAUAAGUGUUGGUGAAAUAACGAAUGAAUGGAUUCUAAUCCCCUUUCCACACUGCUAAUCAGAGUUCUUUUUUAAAACCCUCCUAUGCCAUUGUCUUCUUCUCUAGCUCUUCCCUAAACUUCAUUCUUUAACAACAUACCAGGUAGGUUCUGAAGUAGUAAUCUAAAGGUAGCCAGGUAACAAACCCCGGGCAUGACUGGGAAUAUUUGGAAAACAGUGACAAGCUUCAUGAGCACAGAGCACUUAUGAUUGCUCACUGGAGAAGUGCCACCCCUGCUAAUGGAGGGAGAUCAGGAAGUUCCUGGCUGUUCAGUCUUUAGUGUUCUCUGGUGCUAUGGGGUAAGGAGUUCUCUUUCUUAAGGAAUGAAAGUCAGCUUUGCAUAAGAUUCUGUGUCUGAAUGCGGAAGGUGCUUGGGUCAGCUGAGCAGGUCUGAAAAAGAUGGCAGCCAAUACCCCUUUCCCUCAAGGGGAGCACACUUGCCAUCUACCUUUUUGCACUGCUUAUAUUAUCUUCUUGAGCUAAAAGACCUGCAUUUGAAUUCCAGCACUGCCAAUUACUUAUUUGUCACUUGGCCUUAGUUAUGUAAACUCUUGAAAAACCUCAAUUUCUUCAUCGUUGAGUGGGGUUAAUAAUAAAAACCAUUUCAUCAGUAUCUGGACCAUGAUCACUCUAGAAUAGGGGUAUUGAGUAUACUGUGUACAUUGGCUCCUCUUGUGUACACUUAAAGAUUUUCAUGAUUUUUUUUUUUCCAUUAUCAGCUCACUGCAACAUCUGACUCCCAGGUUCAAGCGAUCCUCCUGGCUCAGCCUCCCCGAGUAGCUGGGAUUACAGGUGCCCACCACCAUGCCCGUCUAAUUUUUGUAUUUUUGGUAGAUAUGGGGUUUUACCAUGUUCCUCAGUCUAGUGUUGAACUCCCGGGCUCAAGUGAUCUGCCUGUGUCAGCCUCCCAAAGUGCUGGGAUUACAGGCGUGAGCCACCGUGCCUGGCCCAUAAUAUUUUUUUAAAUUAUCUUAUAAGGCGUUUGUGAGAAUUAAAUGAAAUUAGGCAUGGAAAGUGCUCCUUACAGUAUCUGACACAUAGGAAGCCUCUGAUACAAGGUGGCUCUCAACAGCACAGUCACACCACUGUCCUGGCCAUGAGGGUUUUGUGGCACCGAGAUCAUCUUAUCCAUUCAUUGGUUUGUUGUGUUAUGUCUUCCUCCGCUAGAAUUAAGCUUCAUGAGGCAGGGCCUUAUUCUGUUUUUGCUCCACACUGUAUCUCGAGCGUGCAUAGUAGGCAAUUGGUACUGAAAACAUGAGCUGUGAAAACAACCAGCUUCGGCCCCAGCCACGGCUCACAUCAAUCACACAUCCUGCUCCCAGUCAGCACCCUUCGCUCCCCACCUAAGAGGUAAUGCCCUGCCUCAUAGAGAGAUGGGGACUCAGGAGGCAAUGCAACAGGUGAACAGUUUGCCUAGAGCAAAGGUCUUCACAGUCCAGCACCUCCCAAAGACUCUCUGUAACAGAAGAACCAAAAAGACAGCUCAGGGUAAAUUAUCAGGACUGAGAAGAAUCAGGAGAGAAAACACAAGAGGCUAGAGUGGUCCCAGCAGAAGCUCUCAAAGAGGUCAGAGCUUAAAAGGGCAUGAACCAAAGUUAGACAGCACAGAGCCAAGGGUCUCAACACUGGAGAAGCAUCUGUCAGUGAAAACUGGGAUUAAGCUGAGACCUGCAAAGCAAGUCUGCUACAAAAAGAGGGCUUGCUAGCCAAGAAACAGUCAGAGUGCAAAAGAACAAAGGAGCAGGGCACUAUUGUAUGAGGCUGAUGAGGCACAUUAAUGAAUGGCCCAGAAGGCAGAACUCUCAUCGCCUAUAUUCCUUUUGUCUCCUUUGCCAAGGGGAUUACUGAACUGGAAAAGAUAGAAAAUAGGUAAAAAUCAUUAUAUUUUAUAAAGCAGCUACUACGUAUCAGGCAGCAAUAUAUAUUCACAAUCUUGCUUAAUACUUAGAAGAGAUAUCAAUCAUGAUUCCACUUUAUAUGUGAGAAAAAUUAACCUCAUAGAGGUGAAGCAGCUUUCUCAUGAGUGCAGAACUAGUGAGUAGUCUAAUAUCUUCAUUUAGAUACUGUAUAUCUUAAGAGGGAAGCUUAAGAUGGAUGGGGGGCUCACUGGGGGUAAACAGCCCAGUGCUGACCCCAUUUAAGUUCACAGUCAAACCUCCCUGGACCAUUUUCAUACCAGCUGCAGUUUGCAGUUUAGACACAGCAUCCGCUAUUCAGAGAGUUGAUUUUCUUUUCUUUUUUCUCUCUUUUUUUUUUUUUUUUUUUUUUGGACAGAGUUUUACUCUGUCACCCAAGCUGGAGUGCGGUGGUGUGAUCUCAGCUCACUGCAACCUCUGCCUCUCAUGUUCAAGCGAUUUUCCUGUCUCAGCCUCCUGAGUAGAGUAGCCAGGAUUACAGGUGCACACCACCAUGCCCUAAUAAUUUUUGUAUUUUUAGUAGAGAUUGGGUUUCGCCCUGUUGGCCAGGCUGGUCUCGAACUCCUGACCUCAGGUGAUCUGCCCACCCUGGCCUCCCAAAGUGCUGAGAUUACAAGCGUGAGCCACCAUGCCCAGUCAGAAGUGUUGGUUUUCUGGACCUAGUGUGACAGGGGAACACUUCUUCCCCACUUCCUAUGCUGUCUGCAAUAUGGAGGGAUAGCUUUCAGUGUGACGUUCCUGGCCCCUCUGGCUCCUCUACCCUCCUCCCCCCAGGGAGGUGGAGCAAAGUAUCUGAUUGGUGAGUUUGGCAGAAAGAAUUGGACAUGAACAUUUUGCCUGGUGCAAAGGUCUUUUCUCUCUCUAGCAGGAGAACCAAAUGACAACUCGGAGGAAAUGAUCAGGACUGAGAAGGAGAGGAGAAAAUCCAAGAGGCCAGACCCUCACGUGGACCCUAUUGUCUCUUCCUUCCAACCUCCCAGCCUAUAAACACCUGUGCUAAGCCCAGCUGCCCAGCCCAGGCCCCAUCUGUGGGUGAGGCCUGAGACUUUUCGACCUUGCCUUGGCUGAGCACCGUUAUUACCACAUGCCUAAGACCCGUGCUCCAAUGCAUCUAUCAGGAAUAAAGCUGAUGUCUUAA